rnacentral:rRNA from 1 species
GACAGAGGGUGCAAACGUUGUUCGGAAUUACUGGGCGUAAAGCGUGUGUAGGCGGUCCGCUAAGUCGGGUGUGAAAGCCCUGGGCUCAACCCAGGAAGUGCACUCGAAACUGGCGGGCUAGAGUAUCGGAGAGGUUGGUGGAAUUCUCGGUGUAGAGGUGAAAUUCGUAGAUAUCGAGAGGAACACCGGAGGCGAAGGCGGCCAACUGGACGAAUACUGACGCUGAGACACGAAAGCGUGGGGAGCAAACAGG